GUUCUGACUCAGGGACCAUCAAACGCGGGAGUAUUAGGCAGGGCCUCUGCCUUGAAGAAGGCCCUGGAUUUCUGAGUCAGCUUUCUUCCUACUCCUUCGGUACAUCCCUGGAGGUAGAUCAUGCUUGCUUGCACUGAAGCACAGCUAUAUUAGCCCCGUUUCUGGCAUGAUCAGAGUAACAGAGAAGAAAGCUCUGUGGAUAGGGGCUUGCUGUGCUCUCCACGGUCAGCAGGCGGCCUGCCCUUCUCAUGGGAGCUCCCUGAGCAGCUGCUUGCUUCUGACAGCCACCACUUUCUGUUGAUUCCAAACUGAAGGGAGAAAUUCAGUUUGGGGAAUUUAGUGUCUAAGUUGCAUUACAGAGCUACAACAAAAAGUGACAAGAUUCCAUGUUUACAGCGGUCUCCCACAAAGGGAGAGAAAAGGCUUCCUGAUCUCAUUCAGUGAAGAUGGGCCAUGACAUGUUCCCACGCUCUAAUGUGCCCCCUCUCUUUCAACCUGGUGCUAACCACCGGAAGGAGGGAAGCUGAAAGCUGAUCCUACCCCACACCCACAACCACAGCAGGAGGCUCAGCAUAUUUUCCUUCUUUGGAAUAUAUACCAUACUGUAAAUGAUAAAGUUACACAAUCAUUGUAAAAAAUCUGGAAAAAAUCAGAAGUAUAUUGGGCUCACCACCCAGAGAUAGCUAGUGUUAACAUGUUGG
rnacentral:lncRNA from 10 species